rnacentral:lncRNA from 1 species
GGAAGACUUAAGAUGGCGGCGUUUGCACGGAGUGCAAUCACUGCGUCCUUACGGGGGUUGCAAGGCGUCCGAAGUAUGAGUCCACUAACAAAAGUCCAGAAACUCGCCAGUUAAUAGUAUUGUGUCUCUUCAAAAUAUCGGAGAAUAAUUUCUUUCUCGCUGAUCGCCUAACUUCUACUGACGAAGCUUGGAAGUUGCAGAAGGCUGGAGUGCAAUGGCGCCAUCUCGUCUCACUGCAACUUCCGCCUCCCGGGUUCAAGCGAUUCUCCUGCCUCAGCCUCCCAAGUAGCUGGGAUUACAGAUGGAGUUCGCUCUUGUUGCCCAGGCUGGAAUGCAAUGGCAUGACCUUGGCUCACUGCAACCUCUGCCUCCCCAGUUCAAGUGGUUCUCCUGCCUCAGCCUCCCGAGUAGCUGAGAUUACAGGUACUGGCUCCUGUAUCACCCAGCUCUGGAGUUGAAAGAGCUCUUCAUUCCUGAGUCUCCUGUACCACUGAGAAUAGAAAUACAAAAAAAAUUCUAAAACUUGUAUGGAACUACAAAAGACAUUAAAUAAUCAAAGUAAUCUUGAGCAACAAGGACACAGCUGGAGGCAUCACUCUACCUGAUUUUGUAAUCCAUUAUCAAAAAACUGUGGUACCAGCAUAAAAACAGAUUCACUGACCAGUGGAACAGGAAAGCCCAGACAUAACUCAUACAUUUCCAUCCAAUUGAUUUUUGACAAAAGUGGCACACAGAAUGGGGAGAGGACAAAUAAAUAAAUAAAUUGUUUUGAGAUAUCUGUAUAUCUAUAUGUGAAAUUGAACCAUUUUCUCAUAGCAUAUAGAAAAAUCAACUCAAAAUGGAUUAAAGCCUGAAAUGUUGCCU